rnacentral:snoRNA from 1 species
UGCAUCUCACAGACAUGAAGCAGUUACUGUCUACUGCUAGUUUCCACUAGAGAUGCAAGGAAAAAAAAAAGUGUCCUCACACUUUCUUUCUGAUUGUGGCAGCCAAGAUUGAAUGGGGAAAUAUAGGA